rnacentral:misc_RNA from 1 species
ACGCAGCCCGACCUGAGUGGAGCUCAUUUUUAUUUUUGAUAAAAAUAAAAAUAGCGGGAACGGAGGGCGGAUAAAGC